AAUAACUCAACAAGGUUCCUGACAGGACAAGUCCUGUAUGAGCGAGAAGAGAAUGCGAGGAGGUUAAUACACCCUACCCUCUUUGCAUCAAGACACAAACUAUGUAGAGUAUGGUUUGAAGCAAAGAUGACUUGGUACCAAGCAAUACCUAGUGAAUUAUUCAUGCAGACUGGCUGUCUGCUUUCUACACAACCAAAAUAUUAAUAAAGUUCUUUGUUACCACACACAAGUAUGCCUAAUUAUUUUGAAAAGAAAACACAGGACCACACCUUGUCGAAACUCUCUGGCACAGCAUUUAUUUUACAAACCCAAGCAGUCUAUCACUCACUCUUAAAUAGCAUGGAAAGAGGCGCGCACUGCCAACAGGCCAGGACCACCGAAAGUUUCUGCUGUCCUGUUGGCAAACUGUUAUUUACAAGACAAGACCAGCAACAUAUCAGAAGGAAAAUGCUAUCCACAAAACAAGGACAUGUGAACGCUGGAUGCCAAUGCAUUCAAGCAAAACGGCACAGUUUAAAAGUGGCACAAUCAGCCUGAAAUGAGUGCUCCACACUCGUUUCAUCUUCAUUAAGAAAAUAUGCUAGUAAUGUUGCUCUGGCUGGGGAAAAUGGG
rnacentral:lncRNA from 1 species